GGACAUAAAGCCGAACCUGAGGAGUCAAGGCGGUCCACGGGUAUCACGCCGAGACCCCAUCAGCGAGUGGCCGACAGACCCGGUUCGUCGCUCUCGUGGGAACUCGCUAAGCGGUACGGGGCUCUGUGAUGGUGCCGUGACCUUUGCCAUUUGAAGGUGACGCCUGGAGAGCCUUCAGGAAGGGCCGAGGAGUUGCUGCAGAGCCCGCGAUGACGGCGGCGGCCUCCGAGCGUGGCCGUAGCGUGCGGCCCGAGGAGCCGGGCGUUCUUAGCAGAAGGCUGACCAAGAGACCAGAGCCCGGUGACUGCGGAAAAUUCCCAGCGGGUGAGGCGGCCUUCCUUGGCAGCGGAGGCGGAUUGUCAUCCCCGGACGUCCAAGAGAUAAGUGGAGGGUUACGAGCCCCCUGAGAGGGGGACGAAAGCGAGGUGCUGGGAGGGUUUUUUGAGUGGCAGCUUUGGAGGCGGGGUUGUGCAGGAGGUGGCCCUUUAGGCCACGUAAAGGAAGAGUUACCCGGUGCUGAGGUGCUCAGGGCAGAGCAGUCCCGGUGCGUGUCACUUGUGUCACUUGUCUAUGGUGCCUUCUGUGUGUAUCGUGCCUUCUGUGUCUUUUGCCUCGUGCCCCACAAAGGAUUAUCCGAAGCCCAGGUGUCC